rnacentral:rRNA from 1 species
CAGUGGGGGCAAGCGUUGUUCGGAAUUACUGGGCGUAAAGGGCGCGUAGGCGGCCUGUUAAGUCGAACGUGAAAUCCCCGGGCUCAACCCGGGAACUGCGUCCGAAACUGGCAGGCUUGAAUCCGGGAGAGGGAUGUGGAAUUCCAGGUGUAGCGGUGAAAUGCGUAGAUAUCUGGAGGAACAUCGGUGGCGAAGGCGACAUCCUGGACCGGUAUUGACGCUGAGGCGCGAAAGCCAGGGGAGCAAACGGGAUUAGAUACCCCGGUAGUCCUGGCCCUAAACGAUGAAUGCUUGGUGUGGCGGGUAUCGAUCCCUGCCGUGCCGAAGCUAACGCAUUAAGCAUUCCGCCUGGGGAGUACGGUCGCAAGGCUG